AACUCUGUUGAGAAAGGAAGAGUUGGCUGGGUGGAGGAGAGUUCAAAUCAUAUGUAGCAGGUGUCUCCAGAGGCUGGCAACUGCCCAGUCAUUGUCCAGGCAUUCAUUCACUUGUUCAUUCAUCCAUUCAUGUACAUUUAUUCUUUUGUUUAACCAUUAAACAAGAAUUUCUUGAGCACCUACUACAUGCCAGACGUACUGGGGUUGCUAAGCACAGUUUGUGGACCUUUGAAAACUCAAUUGCACCUCUUACUGUUCUCAUAUUACUGACUUUCCUGGAGUCCAGGUCUUGAAAUUUGUUCCCAGGCAGUAAACUGAGGCUUGGAGAAGUCGGAGCGCUAGACCGAAGCCCCAGGAAGGCGCCGAUCCUGAGGACUGCAAAGCCCCAAAACAACUGGAGCGCAACACUGUUGACCCUGAGAGCAAUGAUAACGGAGAUCGUGGAAGGACGCUUCUGCUUGCUUUGGAAAACAAGGUUGCAUGUGUUUCUCAUGGGAGCUUUGCCGGAGGCAGGCCAGUACCCAUCUCCCAGGCUUGUGAGGAUCGAGUGAGAUAACCUGUGUUCAGCCCAUCCAGAGCCAGGCUCGUGGGCGCCUGGUCAUGGUUUUGUCCUCGCUGUUGCCAGGUCGCAUGUGGUGACUCACACUGAGACCCUCAGGUCUGUAAUACAGGUGGGCCUCAGCAGAGCCAGGUCAGCAUCUCCCCCUCUGGGCCUCACUGUCCCCAUCGGUGAAACGUUUGGGGGCAGACAAGUUGGACUAGAGUGGGCUUCUCACCCUCUACCAUGACUGACAUUUGGGGCCACAUACUUCCUUGCUGUGGGGGGCUGAUGUGUGUGCAUGUAGGACGCCCAGCCACAUCACUGGUCUCCACAUACUAGAUGCCACUAGCACACCCCGCCACACCUGCCAGUUGUGACAACCAAAUCUAUGUCCAGACGGUGCCAGAUGUCCCUGGAGCAGAAAGAUGAGGUUAUAUUCUUCGCCCAUCCGAGCAGGUGAGCAGAGUGAGCACCUCCCGUGUGCUCGGUGCUCUGCUGGGUACUGCAGGUGGCAUGACCCUGCCCCCGAGGACCUCAUCUUCAGAUCGGAAACCGUCAGUAAGCAAUCACACAAGAAACCAAUUCUGCAAACAUUCACCGGUGCCUAUCCCAUGCCACAACCUAGAGGAUCCUGGGGUCCAAGGGGAGGCGUCACCCCCUCCAUAGAGCCAUCUGAUUCUCCUGCUAGGUUAAUGCCGUCCUCUGUGCUUCCAGACAUGUCUCCCCCAGGCUCCCAACAACGCUUGCAGAUGAUUUUUACAGAUGGGGGGUUGGGGGCUCAGUCAGGGACGGGGAGGGACUCACCCAAGUCCUGGGGUGUAGAGAAGCCCAGCUCCCAUGCUCACUGACUGGGCGGCCUCUGAGCUUUGCCUCUCAUACCUGUACGAGGGAGACAAUUACACCUGACCCACGGUGUUCCUGUGAAGUGUUAGCGAGGUGACACAGCGUGCCUGGCAUGUAGUAGGUGCUCAGCAAACAGCAGCCAUAACGAUUGUGGCUGUCAUCCCUCAGGAUGCAGACGUAGUUGUCGCAGGGGGCUUGCCAGGUAGGCUGGCCUGGGCAGCCUGCAGACACCAGCUCCCUGAGUCUGCUGCGGAGCUGGAGCUGGAGCUGGAGCUGGAGCUGGAGAAGGCCUCCUCUCCCUUCCACUCUCCCCGGGGGCACCUGGGGCAGGCCCCGGUCCCCCCCCCCCCCCCCCGCCCCCCAAGAAUGGCAGGUGUUUGAACUCUGUGGAGGCAACAGUGCCCCCUACUGGACAGUCUGCAGAACUGGGAGAGGGGCCAGUCGCCUUGACAAGGCUGGGGCCCCUGCAGGAGGGGCCCGGGGACCUGGCUGGCUUGCCAGAUCCUUCCGGCCAAGGAGCCGCUCACAAAGAUCGUCCUGAGCUGGCCCCUUUCCCAGGUGAAUCCUUUUGUGCGAGCCGGAGGAGCCACAUCCUGCCAAGGACUGCCUUUCUCAGUUCAACCAAGUUCAUUCUUCCGUUUCUCUGACUUAACUCUAGCAUCUCUCCUCUCGGGGGACACAAAAGUAGAGGGAACUCUGGACAAAAUAGCUGAGUUUUCAUCUGAAAUGCUCCCACUGACUUCCUGGCUCGAGGAGGGUAAGAGGUGGCUCCACGUAGCAGACGGAGCAACGGAGGGCUGACCUCCCGGAGGUGCCGGGGCCCUCGGGAGAGGCCCAUGCAUGUGAGUAGCCGUUUCUGCCAGGAAGCUUUUCCAUCACAGAAAGGGGUAGUGUUCACCUUUCUCUUGCAGCCGGUAUUUAAUAAGGUUGCCAUGGAGUGGACGUGAGCCUGGGCGCCCAGGACUCAGAGAAGCCUCAAGAAAGGCAAAUAUCCACUCAGAUGGAAUUUCCACUGGAAGUGAUAAGCUUCUCCAGUCCCCUGAUGGUUUCCAAAGAAGGUGAGGGUGUAGGGGGGCUCCUUGUCCACUCUCUGAUGUCAGGAUGGCCAGUCGGGAAGGAGCCGUGACCCCUUACGUGCUGUCGGAUGCAACAAGCAAAUGCGACCCUCGCUCUGGGAGCCGGACUUUAUCACCCAAGCACGGCGGAAGGAGAGAGUCUGCAUCAUCGGUUUUGGGGAAGCUUCAAGAGAUGGAGAGUGUUUAUUUGCUAAAGAAUUUUUGAGACAGUUGAAGAGGACAAUGGGUGUCAAGGUCCCGGCACUGCGGCUGCUCAAUAAAUGGCUGUUCUUUCCUUCUCUCUCUCUUCUGCCCUCAGGUCCAUUAGCUUUCAGUUUGCCUCCAGUGACAUAAAUAAUAAAUGACCUUUCCCCUUC